AUUUUAAAAAGUCCGACAGUUUUCCAGCUUCUACUUCCUCUGCAAAAAUGAAGUUUAUUUCCUACAUAUGGGGACUUUUUAUCAUCUUGAACUUUCCCUG